UCUCCGUAGGUGAACCUGCGGAGGGAUCAUUACUGAGUGAGGGCUCACGCCCGACCUCCAACCCUUUGUGAACACAUCUUGUUGCUUCGGGGGCGACCCUGCCGUUUCGACGGCGAGCGCCCCCGGAGGCCAUUAAACACUGCAUCAUUGCGUCGGAGUUAAAGUAAAUUAAACAAAACUUUCAACAACGGAUCUCUUGGUUCUGGCAUCGAUGAAGAACGCAGC
rnacentral:misc_RNA from 1 species